AUAUCAAUAAGCGGAGGAAAAGAAACUAACAAGGAUUCCCCUAGUAACUGCGAGUGAAGCGGGAAAAGCUCAAAUUUGAAAUCUGGCGGUCCUUGGCCGUCCGAGUUGUAAUCUAGAGAANGUGUUACCCNGCGCUGGACCAUGUACAAGUCUCCUGGAAUGGAGCGUCAUAGAGGGUGAGAAUCCCGUCUCUGACAUGGACUACCAGGGCUUUGUGGUAUGCUCUCAAAGAGUCGAGUUGUUUGGGAAUGCAGCUCAAAAUGGGUGGUAAAUUCCAUCUAAAGCUAAAUAUUGGCGAGAGACCGAUAGCGAACAAGUACCGUGAGGGAAAGAUGAAAAGAACUUUGGAAAGAGAGUUAAACAGUACGUGAAAUUGCUGAAAGGGAGACGCUUGAAGUCAGUCUCGUUGGCCGGGGAUCAGCCUCACAAUUUGUGUGGUGUACUUUCUGGUUGAUGGGUCAGCAUCAAUUUUGACUGUUGGAAAAAGGCUUGGGGAAUGUGACAGCUCUGGCUGUGUUAUAGCCCCUUGUCAUAUACAGCAGUUGGGAUUGAGGAACUCAGCACGCCGCAAGGCCGGGUUUCGACCACGUUCGUGCUUAGGAUGCUGGCAUAAUGGCUUUAAGCGA
rnacentral:rRNA from 1 species